GAUGAAGAACGUAGCGAAAUGCGAUAAAUAAUGUGAAUUGCAGAAUUCAGUGAAUCAUCGAAUCUUUGAACGCACCUUGCGCCCUUUGGCCAUUCCGAAGGGCAUGCCUGUUUGAGUAUCAUGAACACCUCAACUCUUCAUGGUUUUCCGUGAUGAGCUUGGACUUUGGGGGUCUUGCUGGCCUAUGGUCAGCUCCUCUAAAAUAAAUCAGCUUGCCAGUGUUUGGUGGGUAUCACAGGUGUGAUAACUAUCUACGCUUGUGGUUUUCCACCAGGUAACCUUCAGCAGUGGAGGUUCGCUGGAGCUCACAGAUGUGUCUCUCCUCAGUGAGGACAGCUCUUUGAAUGUUUGAUCUCAAAUCAGGUAGGACUACCCGCUGAACUUAAGCAUAUCAAUAAGCGGAGGA
rnacentral:misc_RNA from 1 species